rnacentral:rRNA from 1 species
AACGAACGCUGGCGGCAGGCCUAACACAUGCAAGUCGAACGCUCCGCAAGGAGAGUGGCAGACGGGGGAGUAACACGUGGGAACCUUCCUAUCGGUACGGAAUAGCUGAGGGAAACUUGAGGUAAGACCGCAUAAGCCCUCCGGGGGAAAGAUUUAGCGCCGGUAGAUGAGCCCGCGUCGGAUUAGCUAGUUGGGGGGGUAAUGGCCUACCAAGGCGACGAUCAGUAGCUGGUCUGAGAGGAUGACCAGCCACACUGGGACUGAGACACGGCCCAGACUCCUACGGGAGGCAGCAGUGGGGAAUAUUGGACAAUGGGCGCAAGCCUGAUCCAGCCAUGCCGCGUGAGUGACGAAGGUCUUCGGAUUGUAAAGCUCUUUUGCCAGGGACGAUAAUGACGGUACCUGGAGAAUAAGCCCCGGCUAACUUCGUGCCAGCCGCCGCGGUAAUAC